rnacentral:rRNA from 1 species
CGUGUAGGCGGGUCGGAAAGUCGGGCGUGAAAGCCCCAGGCUCAACCUGGGAACUGCACUCGAAACUUCCGGUCUAGAGUGGUGGAGAGGGAAGUGGAAUUCCUGGUGUAGAGGUGAAAUUCGUAGAUAUCAGGAGGAACACCAGUGGCGAAGGCGGCUUCCUGGACACCAACUGACGCUGAGACGCGAAAGCGUGGGGAGCAAACA